UACGGGGGGAGCAAGCGUUGUUCGGAUUUACUGGGCGUAAAGGGCGCGUAGGCGGUAGUACAAGUCAGUUGUGAAAUCUCCGGGCUUAACUCGGAAAGGUCAACUGAUACUGUGCGACUAGAGUGCAGAAGGGGCAACUGGAAUUCUCGGUGUAGCGGUGAAAUGCGUAGAUAUCGAGAGGAACACCUGCGGCGAAGGCGGGUUGCUGGGCUGACACUGACGCUGAGGCGCGAAAGCCAGGGAGCGAACGGG
rnacentral:rRNA from 1 species